UACGUAGGGUGCGAGCGUUGUCCGGAAUUAUUGGGCGUAAAGAGCUUGUAGGCGGUUUGUCGCGUCUGCUGUGAAAAUCCGGGGCUCAACCCCGGACUUGCAGUGGGUACGGGCAGACUGGAGUGUGGUAGGGGAGACUGGAAUUCCCGGUGUAGUGGUGAAAUGCGUAGAUAUCGGGAGGAACACCAGUGGCGAAGGCGACUACCUGGCCUGUUCUUGACGCUGAGGCGCGAAAGCUAGGGGAGCAAACGGG
rnacentral:rRNA from 1 species